rnacentral:rRNA from 1 species
GAUGAACGCUGGCGGCGUGCCUAAUACAUGCAAGUCGAGCGAACAGACGAGGAGCUUGCUCCUCUGACGUUAGCGGCGGACGGGUGAGUAACACGUGGAUAACCUACCUAUAAGACUGGGAUAACUUCGGGAAACCGGAGCUAGUACCGGAUAAUAUAUUGAACCGCAUGGUUCAAUAGUGAAAGACGGUUUUGCUGUCACUUAUAGAUGGAUCCGCGCCGCAUUAGCUAGUUGGUAAGGUAACGGCUUACCAAGGCAACGAUGCGUAGCCGACCUGAGAGGGUGAUCGGCCACACUGGAACUGAGACACGGUCCAGACUCCUACGGGAGGCAGCAGUAGGGAAUCUUCCGCAAUGGGCGAAAGCCUGACGGAGCAACGCCGCGUGAGUGAUGAAGGUCCUCGGAUCGUAAAACUCUGUUAUUAGGGAAGAACAAAUGUGUAAGUAACUAUGCACGUCUUGACGGUACCUAAUCAGAAAGCCACGGCUAACUACGUG